rnacentral:rRNA from 1 species
GUACCAGACUCCUACGGGAGGCAGCAGUGAGGAAUAUUGGUCAAUGGCCGGAAGGCUGGACCAGCCAAGCCGCGUGAAGGACGAAGGUGCCAAGCAUUGUAAACUUCUUUUGUCAAGGGACAAAAUCAGGCUCGAGAGCCUGACCGAGGGUACUUGAAGAAAAAGCAUCGGCUAACUCCGUGCCAGCAGCCGCGGUAAUACGUAGGGGGCGAGCGUUAUCCGGAUUCACUGGGCGUAAAGGGAGCGCAGGCGGCACGGCAAGUCCGGUGUGAAAGCCCGGGGCCCAACCCCGGGACUGCACUGGAAACUGCCGGGCUGGAGUGUCGGAGGGGCAGGCGGAAUUCCUAGUGUAGCGGUGAAAUGCGUAGAUAUUAGGAGGAACACCGGUGGCGAAGGCGGCCUGCUGGACGACGACUGACGCUGAGGCUCGAAAGCGUGGGGAGUAAACAGGAUUAGAUACCCCUGUA